rnacentral:rRNA from 1 species
UACGUAGGGUGCGAGCGUUGUCCGGAAUUAUUGGCGUAAAGGGCUCGUAGGCGGUUUGUCGCGUCGGGAGUGAAAACCUUGGCUUAACUCAGGCUUGCUUCGAUACGGCAGACUAGAGGUAUGCAGGGAGAACGGAAUUCCUGGUGUAGCGGUGAAAUGCGCAGAUAUCAGGAGGAACACCGGUGCGAAGGCGGUCUCUGGCCGAUACUGACGCUGAGGAGCGAAAGCGUGGGGAGCGAACAGG